rnacentral:lncRNA from 1 species
UGAACAAAUAAACAAAAAGCACGGGAAGGGAAGAAUAAAAAAGGGCAGGACGGAUCCCCCCACCCCAAAAAAAAUAAUUUUGAAAAGGAAUUCCAUUUUUGGUAUUCAAUUAAAAAAGAGGGCCCACAGAAUAAUUUGACUCUACGCCAUAUUUCUUUUCUUCUCCAAAAAAAAUCAUCAACAGAUACACCACACUAACACCGCUCGUUCCAUCGUCACUCUCAUGAACACACAGAUACAGACGCACAAGACUCACCGAUUCCACACAAUUUAAACUCAGAUGAUAACCACACCUCACGAUAUAUGGAUUCACAUACUACAACACAUACAAACUGAGCACGCACACACAGAAGAGAGGUCGAGAGAGAUCGAUUGAGAGAGAUAGAGAGAAAACAGAGGUCGAUUGAGAGAGUAGGAGAUAUCGAGAGAGGAAAGGAAGGGACGAGGGGUUGAUUGGUUCCGGCGAGAUGAAAGCGGAAAAACCAGAGCCAUUCCGAUGAAGCUUUCACCGGGAAACGUCAAAAUUGGCCAAAAAUCUGUUUGAAUUCACCGGAGAUGGUCACCCACCUCCAAAAUUCGAUCCAAAUCGGCGACCAACACUUGAGAAAUACCUUCGUACCACUGUUCUCCGGCCUUACCUGAGCUCGCCGGAGCUCUGUUCUGAUCAGUUCACCGGAAAAUUGGUUAAAAACUGGUAAGUGAGCAUUCAAAGUUUCCGUAAUUCAUAGGUACUGUUUCGGAUUUGCUCGGUUUUGGGGGGGGGGGUUUGCUCGAGUUGGAAGAUUUGAGUUGAGUUCGUUGGAUCGAGUCGUGAAUUUGGUUCUGGUCCGUUGGCAACAUCAACAAUUCGGUGUUGAAAUAAAUUAGAGGUCCAUUUUUCAUCUCUUUCUUCAUAAUUUUGUGAUCUUUACGUGAAUGAUGGUGUGAAUUGUUGUUUGUUUUGAUUUGGUGUUUGAUUUUCGUAAUUAUGGAUUGCAUGAUGAAAUGUUAUCCUGUUUGAGAAUUAAAAUUGAUUGUUUGGGGCGGAAUUGAAAUUGAUAAAAAGCAAGCGUUAAUUUAUUUUGAUUCAUUGAUAUUGUUGAUGUGAUAAUGUCAUGAUAGAUCGAGCUCGAGUAGGCAAACAUAAGUUAGGUAGGCAAAUUUAGGAAUGGUGAUUUGUUAAAUGUGUGAAUGUCUGUGAAUGGUUCUUUCUAUUUUUACUCACAAAAUUGAGAAAAUGUAUUCAUUUUACCGGACAAUGUCCCGAGAUCUUAUGUACUUAUUCACCGGGAAUGCCCCGACUAUCAUGUAUACAAAUGAGGUUCGUGAUGAAGGCCCGAGACAUUGGGUGGAGCUUAGUCUAGGAUUAGCAUAGAAUAAGAUUUAUAUUUUUCGCAUUUUUUUAAUUUUGGACUGUAUAAUUGAACUGGACAUUAUAAAUUUUGGAUUUGUUUUGUUUUGUUUGCCUGCUUGAUUGUUUUGAUGUGUUUUUGUAUGGUUUAUACAUUCGUCGUAUCAAAUUAACCGAUAUGCUCUACCAAGUGACCGUGGUCGAACCACGGGAUCGAGGGGUGCCUAACACCUUUCCCUCGGUCAACAAAAUUCCUUAACCGGAAUCUCUAUUCGUAAAUCAGUUUAAAGAGUCAAAACUGUUUUGAAAAGGAUAUCCAAGGGUGACUUGGCACACCCAAUUUAUAUCAAGUGACGACUUUGAUUUUUAAAUAUAAAAAGUCCUUUUCGAAACAACUUUUUCAUCUUUUUGUUACUUUAAUAAUAAAAACUCUUUCAAAUUUAAAAUCAAUUCUUUUUGAUUAAAAAAGGGGGUGUGACACAAAUUUGUUGUGAAAUUAUUUAUUAUUUUCUUAAUAGGAUGUGUUCUUCUUCUUUUUUGUAAAUUUUAAUAGAAACUGCUACGAAGUGGUGAUAUGUUUUCUGCUCAAUCAAUUCAGAAAAAUUUAGCUCCAAAAAUAAGUUCAUGUUCUUUAAAUUCCUCUGAAAUGUUACACCUUUCACAAAAAUGUAACUCUAAUAGCUAAACUCGAAGACAUCAAUGGAUAUUCAGAAAAUUUUGAGAUAAUAGAUCAAAUUUUAGGAUAUGAAUUUUUUGUAUCUGCAGAUUUCGUUGACUGCUUCUACCCCAUUCUUUUAAUUCUUCUUUAAGGCUUAGAGUUUGCUAGCAAGAAUAUAGUCAGGUUUCCCAAUGAAUUCAAAAGAUGUCCACCAACCCUUAAUUCUGUCUACAAAAUCUUUCGUACUCAACCUCCAAUUUUCAAACUUGAAAUAUGAUUUGUUGUACUCCCAGACACCACAUUGCAAGUCCAGAUCUUCAAUACAAUCUGAAAAUUCCUUCAUUGUUGUAGUUCUUCUUGUGUAGUUUGCUUUUUCAGAGGGGUAUCUAGUGAUGUUAAAAUCGUCACACACCGCCAUGGACUUACUGUUAUCCCCCUAACUUCUACUAUCUACUCUCAAACUAUUCUCAUUUAAUAUCUAAAAUUUGUGUGCGUAUAAACCCAUCAUGUGACAUUCAAAUUCUUGUAAAAGUGCAACAUGUAAGUCAAAAGUGUAUAUAUCAAUCUCCAGAACUUCCUCUCUCCAUACCCUGUUGUCCUAACAUUAUAAUCCCCCUAUGGUACCACUAGCUUCAAGAUAGUCAAAUUUCACCCAUCUCUGUCCCCCAUUCUCCUCAACACUAUCCCUGACUUCCUCUCCUAAGUUUUUUCUUAAAGGCAAAUGAUGUCUAUCUUCCAGUUGUGUAUUAAACUAUUAACCCUCUUCCUUUUAUCUCUAAUUACAAUAUGUAUAUACUCACUCUUCUUUUUCUUUUCUAGGUCUUGCCUCUUGGAACGAAAAGCAGACAAAAUUGCAAACAUGAACACUUUUGUUUACGCCAAUUCAGUGACACCAAACAUGCGAAAAACUGAACCAUGUUUAGAUUCCUAAGAAAGCGUAGUGUUGGAACUGUUGAUAGUGCUUUGUUUAUCUUUGUAUCAGAAAAAACCUUUCACUCAUUCAUUGUUUUGUUGAUUGAUAAUGUGAGGGAGAGUUUGCAAUUUACGUUUUCAUGUUCUUGCUUGACAUUGUUGACUAAUUUAUUUGAUUUCUCGACUUUCUUAUAAGGAGUUUGUUGUUUAUUAGUACAUUGUUGCUACGUCGCCUUGACUAGUUUCUGAAACUCGAGCUUCUUAUAAUGUGAGGGAGAGUUUGCAAUUUACGUUUUCAUGUUCUUGUUUGACAUUGUUGACUAAUUCCUUUGAUUUCCCGACUUGAGUUUGUUAGUAUUUAUUAGUACAUUGUUGCUUCUUCACCUUGACUAGUUUCUAAAACUCGAGCUUAGAUUGAUUUAUAAGCUCGUGAAGCCUCUUCAACAUUACGAAAAUUCCCCUACUAAUGGAAUUUCUAUUUCAGAUGUAUAUAUCUCUAUUCUCUUAUGAUCUCCAAUGAUAUGUGUAUAUAAAAGGAUACCACAACAACAGGUGAUGAUUCGGACUGCUGAAUCUGAUCAUAAAUUUUCUUUAAUCUUUACUCCUUAUUUCUUUGGCUUAAUUUCUGAAACUCUACUUUAUGGACAAAUAAGCUUGUGAAGCCUCUUCCAUAGUAUCAAAAGUGCCAAAUCAUACAACAUCUGUAUAACUUUUCGUUCUUUGUUCUUUUGUCUUUUGAUUCCAAAAAAGUUUCUCUUAGCUUUAAGAUUGAAACUCGUAGUAAUAUUAGACUCAUCAUGAUUUAUUGCCAUGGGCAUUAGCCAUUAAAUAUGAGAAUACAUGUUUGCUCUUAGAUUGAUAUACACGGAAGCUUCUUCAGCAAUGUCUAUUUCUUGAGAACUAGUUCCUUCAUUAAAUGAAUUUGGGACCUGAACAUCAAUUUCUGAUCCAUUAGCUGAUUCAGGAUGGAAUUUUUCAUCACAAUCUAGAGGCAUGUCCUUGAUUGAUAUUCACUAAUUCCAUUAAUUUCCCAUCUUGCUUGCUUAGAAUGAGUAUGCUUAUUUGUGUAAUGUUUUUGCUAUGCGUUAACUAGUUUCUGAAACUCGAACUUCUUAGAUUGAUAAGCCCAUGAAGACUCUUCAGCAGUGCCAAAACUCCUAUAAUGACCCUCUAAGUUAUUUUUUAUAUUUUUUCUCAUUUUCACCAUUUAGAAAUUUCCUAUAGCUGCCCUAAGUCAUUUGUAAUUUGCUAGAACUGACAGUUCGGUUACCGGACAGUUCAUUUGGUUUUAGAGUCCAUUCUCUAUUUUGAAGUCUUCGUUGGUUUAAUUUGGCUACUGGGCAAAAAAUUCAGUCAAACAACAACGUAUGCCAAUUUUGAUUGUUCCAACAAUUUUAAAACAUCGAUUUUAUGCUAGGAGGAUCCUUGAUCCGAGUCUCGUGGCUCCCAGACUAAUUUUGAGCUAUUGACCGAAAGUUAAGAAAAAUGGCAAGUGAAUAUGGGACCUAUUUUUCAUUGAAACGACCUCGAAUAGAAAUUUCAAUUGUGCCAUUGAGUGUGAAACAUCAAAUUUGAUAGGGUCGCAUAGUCCAUUUGCGUCGAGGGGUUGGUGGAGACUUGAAACUUCUCUAAGUCUCAGCUAGUACAUCGCUUAAGCAAUACCUCUGAUCGCUUAAGCGAUCUGCCAAACCCCAGCAAGUAUCGCUUAAGCGAAUGGCUUGUCAGUGGCCGGCUGUCGCGUAAGCAAUAUGUACGCGACAUUUGCUUAACCAGCCAGCUAUCGCGUAAGCGAUCAAUUGAUCACGUAGCAACUUGUAUGCUAGAGCAAAAGUAUCGCUUAAACGACCCGAAGUUUGUUUAAGCAAUACCAGUGCACUUGAAAAUGGUAUAUACCCCACUUAACCCGUUUUUCUCUAUUCUUCAUUCAUUCCCAAGAUAUUGAAACCCUAAAAAGUGGAAAGUUUGGAGAAAAAAAAUUGUGGGUAAUUUUGGAGCUUGCGUGGAGAUUAUUUACACAUUUCUUCUUUGAAUUUUUGGUAAGCUUCCACCUAUUUUAGGAUUAAAUCUUUCUUUUCUUUAAAAUUUCUAAGACCUUGGUGACUUGACUCUAACACCAUUAGGACUCGGAAUUCACCCAUUUUUGAGGUUAAAUGUUCCUUGAGCAUAAAUGUUCCUCCGGCCCGUCUUAGGUCAAGACUUAAGCUAAUUUUGGUAGGCCUUUAUACGUUAGUUUUACAUUUCAAAAUGCUUAUUAUGAAAUUUUGAGGAGAUUAGAUACUUAACGGCUAUGAUGGAUUGAUUUUGGAAAGUUGAUGAGAAUUACAACAAAACCUGAUAGUUUUUAAUAUUGAUGAUACAAGUUUUGAUUCGAGUUCAAAAAUUUAGUUUGAUAUUGAUGAUAUGAGUGUCGGUUCAAGUCCGACUAUUUAUGAUGAUACUGAUAAUUUGAGUUUCGGUUCAAGUCUGACAAAUGAUGAUAAUGCUGAUGAUGUUAUUGAGUUUUGGUUCGAGUCCGACAUUGAGAGUUGUUAUGAUGUGAUAUUAUACGAAUGAGUAAUUAGAUAUGGCAUGAUGGUUGGUAAAUUAUAGUUACUCUGUUAUCUACUUUUCUUUGAUUGUACCCUCCAGACUUAUGGGAGUCUGCGUUGGAUUAUUUACUUUUCCGUACUUAUUGACUUAUGGGGGCUAAUUUAGUAGAUAUAAUUGUGUAAUCUUUAUGUUACUAUUUUUAAUUUAUUAAUUUAUUUAUGCACAACGAUGUUGGAGUUAUUUACAGGUUUAUCCUUUUACCUUGACUUAGCUUAUUUUAUCUCGUAUUUUGUCGUAUUUAUAUUAUAAUUUAGCUCAAUUGGACAAUGAUGCCUAUUGAGUACCCGUGGUUUUGAUACUCGUACUACACCUUUGUACCUUUUUGAUGCAGAUUCGGGUACUGAUUGUCGUCAGUGAUUCGAUGCUAGUGCAGGGUUGAUUUCAGAGAUUAGGUAAGCUCUUGGAGUUGGAGUUCCCCAUUUUCUUUCUACUUAUCUAUAUCUAGUCUUUUAUUUUGAGACAGAUUACACGACUAUUUCAGAAUUUGUGGUGUAUUUAUAGUAGCUCUUGUACUGACUCUACUAGGUCGUGGGAUGGUUAAGUAUAUUUUAGCUCUCUUUCGAAUUAUAAAUAGGACAA